rnacentral:miRNA from 10 species
GGUGGGAGGAUGGCUUUAGCCUGGAAGAUUGAGCCUGCAGUGAAUUGUGAUUGUGCCACCGCACUCCAGCCUGGGCAAUAAAAUGAGACCCUGUCU